GAGAUCUGGGAAGCACCAUUGUUUGCGUGGGUCGUCGUUGACACUGCUGUUCAUCCACCUUUAUCGCUGAUUCAACCCUUUUUCUUCACUGUUCAUAAUCGUUCUCCUUCCUCUGUCCGUGCGUGUUGAUUCAUUUAAGGGUGUGUGAAAGAACAAGACCCUGACGAGAAUUAAAAGAAGAAUACUUUCGAGAAUUUAGAACUUCAACGUAUUUGUUAGCUGACACUAAUCCCAUCAUCGACCUCUAAAGAGCAACUAGCUACAGUGGGUGGACAUUUUGAUUAGUAUUGUUGCUUUAAUAUAAAUAUAUAAUUUGUAUGUCUUUUUGAUUUGAAAGAAAGAGUAGAUGCUCUACAUAGGUUGUUGAUAAACCUUAUUUUUGGUCUGUAUAUUGGUUGCUGGCUGCAAAGAGCUACGCUCUUAAUUUAUACUAUUAUCUGUAAAAAAAUUGUUGUAGAAUUUUUGGGAGAUCUUAGUUACAGGAGAGGUUCUGCCAAAAUUUUUACAAAAAUGUCGACAUUUUUUUAUGAUAAUGAGUUUAAAGGAAUUAUUUUAAUUCUCAUUUGAUUUGAUUAAAUUUUGUUCUUUCUGUUGUAAAAUGAAAUAAAUGUUCAUUUUGAGAUUUACGGGAAUGUGUGAGUGGUCCACACCCAUGCCGGUCACCCUUUAUUUUUAGGGCGUGACAAAAAGUCAGGGAGAAUAACAUAUAGGUCUCAUAUAAGGACUAAUUAUUCACAUGUCCCAUCCAUUUGUAAAUACAA